GCCUGGGUGGCUCAGUCGGUUGAGCGUCCCGACUUCGACUCAGGUCAUGAUCUCGCAGUUCGUGGGUUCAAACCCCACGUCGGGCU
rnacentral:tRNA from 1 species